CUCAUGAAGUCAAAAGGAGUUGCCUCGCAACUGAGGCAGGACUACGAAAGAAUAUAAUCCAUUUUCUACUCUAUAACCAGUGAAAUUACAGGAUUCCAAACUUGGAAAAUGAAGCGAGAUGAGCCCAAUCAGAGACAGCAAGAGUGGCGCCCCCCAGCGCCUUCCGCGGGAACCACACCCGGCAUCUCAGGCGCAAGCACCAGAGCUCCGAGCCCUGUCUGUGAGCAUCUGGGCUGCAACUCCAUCAGUCGUAUGCAUCCGUUAGCAAGAUGUGUCCCAUGGUAUCAGGAAGGCCUAAGAGAGGAAGGACUGUUGUUGUGCGGGGUAAAAGCUUUCUGCAGGCCAAGAUUUAUCAGCUCGUCUUCGACACGAACAAGCACCGAAGGGUUGGCUUGGCACCCUGAUG